GUUCUGGUGAUUGAUCGAUGCAAUCAUUAGUCAGCGUAGACCCCUGCUUCCUUUCACAACGUAGCACGUUAAACCUGCUGACGUUUUGCAACAGGCUUCCCAUCAUCAAAGCGGAAAGACAGGAAGACAUAACUGAGAGGAAGGAAGUGAAGAGGAGGCAGCCAGAGAGUCUGUUAUUGCAGCUGAGUGACGAAAUGGAAAAGACCUGCUCGUUCUGCUGAAAUUAUAGGAAGAUAUUUCCUGUUCUCAGCAACGGCAACGAAAAG